rnacentral:antisense_RNA from 2 species
UGUAACAAAGUUGCCACAGCGAUUCUCCUUCUGAUAACGCACACGAAGACAGUGUAGAUCUUUUAACGUAUUGGAUACAGAGAAGAAACAGAGGGACAAAGAAGAAGACCAGAUUAAGAAAAUCUGGUGCGUCCGAGUGGACUCGAACCACCGACCCCCACCA